GUCAAGUAGGCAAUUGGAUUUACAAUUCUAGAAUUCAGGGGAAAACUGGAUCAUGGGGCAAUUGAGAAAUGCUUCUAGGACUGAGGGCUGAAGUUGGGACCUGCAGUGAGCCCAAAGGAACAGCUUAAAUGUUCCAGUCAGAACUGCAGAGUGCUUAGAGGUCAGGAAGAAGAGGAGAUAGCAGCCAAUGAAACAGAGAAGUGUGGUACAGAAUCUUUUGAUUCCAUUUCCUGUCAUCCUGGGGACCCCCAAGAGGCUCAUGUUCCUGAUUCAUCAGCCCAUUUCAUGGUAUGUGGAAGCAUUACUCUGAGUUAGAGAACAAGCAGUGACUUUGGAGAAAGGAAGGUCAUAUAGCAUGUUGAAGAGCUCAAUGAGAAGGCCUCCCUAGUCACUGAGAUAGAGCAAUAUUGAAAUUGGGCCGUUAAUGACCUUACAAUGGCCUCUAGGUGCUCCAGUGAGAGGAAGAGCGUCACAUCUUUCACUUUAAAUCAAAAGCUAGAAAUGGCUUAGCUUAGUGAGGAAGGCAGGUCAAAGGCCAAGAUAGGCCUCUUAUGUCAAACAGUUAGGUUGUGAAUGCAAAGGAAAAGAGCUCUUAAAGGCAUUUUAAAGUGCUCUUUCAGUGACCACAAAUGAUAAAAGGCAAAACAGCCUUCUUGCUGAUAUGGAGAAAGUGUGAGUGGUCUGGGUGGGAGAGCAAACCAGCCACAACAGCCCUUAAGCCAGAGCCUCAUCAAAGCAAGGCCCCAACUCCCUUCAAUUCUGUGAAGGCUGAGAGACGUGAGGAGGCUGCAGAAGAGCUGGAAAUGAGCAGAGGCUGGUUUAUGAGGUUUAAGGAAAGACGCUGUCUCUGUAGUAUAAAAGUGCAGGUGAAGCAGCAGGUGCUGAUGGAGAAGCUGCAGCAAGUCACCCAGGAGAUCCAGCUCAGGUCAUUCGUGCAGGCGGCCAUGCUAAAUGGCAGAUUUUUAAUGUAGAUGAAACAGCCUUCUAUCAGAAGAGGAUGCUAUCUAGGACUUCCAUGGCUAGAGAGGAGAAGUCAAUGCCUGGCUUCAAAGCUUCAGAGGACCAGCUGACUCUUGGCUAAUGGAGCUGAUGACCUUAAGUGGAAGCCAUUGCUCAUCUAUCAUCCUGAAAGUCCUAGGGCCUUUAAGAAUAAUGCUAAAUGUACCCAGGCUGUGCUCUAAUGGUGGUACAAAAAAGUAUGGAUGACGCCACAUCUAUUCACAUGGUUUACUGAAUAUUUUAAGCCCACCAUUGAGAUCUACUGCUCAGAAAAAAGAUUCCUUUCAAAAUAUUACUGCUCACUGACAAUGCACCCAAGAGGUGUGAUGGCUAUGUGCAAGAUUAAUGCUUAUGCCUGCUAACACAACACCCUUCUGCAGCCCAUGGAUCAAGGAGUCAUUUUGGCUUUCAAGCCUAAUUAUUUAAGAAAUACAUUUUGCAAGGCUAUAGCUACCAGAGAGAAAGCUACCAUAGAUAGUGAUUCCUCUGAUGGCUCUGGACAAAAUAGAUUGGAAGGGAUUCAUCAUUCCAGAUGCCAUUAAGGACAUAUCUGAUUCGUGGGAAGAGGUCAAAAUAUGAAAAUUAACGAGAGUUUGGAAGAAAGUGAUUCCAGCCCUUCAUGGAUGACUUUGAGGGGUUCAAGACUUCAGGGGAGGAAGUAACUGCAGAUGGUGGAAAUAGCAAGAAAAUUAGAAUUAAAAGUGGAGCCUGAAGAUGUAACUGCAUUGCUGCAGUCUUAUGAUCGAAUUUGAAUGGCUGAGGAGUUGCUUCUAAUGAAUGAGCAAAGAAAGUGAUUUCUUGAAACUGGUGAAGAUGCUGUGCAGAUUGUUGAAAUGAAAACAGUGGAUUUAGAAUAUUCCAUAAACUUAGUUGCUAAAGCAGUGGCAGGGUUUGAGAGGAUUGACUCCAAUUUUGAAAGAAGUCCCACUGUGAGUAAAAUGCUGUCACACAGCAUGGCAUGAUACAGAGAAGCUGUUUGUGGAAGAAAGAAUCCAUUGAUGUGGGAAACAUCAUUGUCUUCCUCUUAGG